rnacentral:rRNA from 1 species
AUCAACUUUCGAUGGUAGGAUAGAGGCCUACCAUGGUGGUAACGGGGUGUUAGGGCACGACACCGGAGAGGGAGCCUGAGAAACGGCUACCACAUCCAAGGAUGGCAGCAGGCGCGCAAAUUACCCAAUCCCAACACGGGGAGGUAGUGACAAUAAAUAACAAUACGGGGUUCUUAUGGAUCUCGUAAUUGGAAUGAGUACAAUUUAAAUCUCUUAACGAGGAACAAUUGGAGGGCAAGUCUGGUGCCAGCAGCCGCGGUAAUUCCAGCUCCAAUAGCGUAUAUUAAAGUUGUUGCAGUUAAAAAGCUCGUAGUUGAAUUUCGGGAUCAAUUUGCUGGUCGUGCCUCUGGUACGUACUGGUAUUAUUGGUUUCUCCCUUCUGACGAACCAUGAUGUCAUUAAUUUGAUGUCGUGGAGAAUCAGGACUGUUACUUUGAAAAAAUUAGAGUGUUUAAAGCAGGCAUACGCUUGAAUACAUUAGCAUGGAAUAAUGAAAUAGGACGUUUGAUUCUAUUUUGUUGGUUUCUAGGAUCGACGUAAUGAUUAAUAGGGAUAGUUGGGGGCAUUAGUAUUCAAUUGUCAGAGGUGAAAUUCUUGGAUUUAUUGAAGACUAACUACUGCGAAAGCAUUUGCCAAGGAUGUUUUCAUUAAUCAAGAACGAAAGUUAGGGGAUCGAAGACGAUCAGAUACCGUCGUAGUCUUAACCAUAAACUAUGCCGACUAGGGAUCGGAUGAUGUUAAUUUUUUAAUGACUCAUUCGGCGCCUUACGGGAAACCAAAGUGUUUGGGUUC